UUAAGCGACUAAGCGUACACGGUGGAUGCCCUGGCAGUCAGAGGCGAUGAAGGACGUGCUAAUCUGCGAUAAGCGUCGGUGAGGUGAUAUGAACCGUUAUAACCGGCGAUUUCCGAAUGGGGAAACCCAGUGUGUUUCGACACACUAUCAUUAACUGAAUCCAUAGGUUAAUGAGGCGAACCGGGGGAACUGAAACAUCUAAGUACCCCGAGGAAAAGAAAUCAACCGAGAUUCCCCCAGUAGCGGCGAGCGAACGGGGAGGAGCCCAGAGCCUGAAUCAGUGUGUGUGUUAGUGGAAGCGUCUGGAAAGGCGUGCGAUACAGGGUGACAGCCCCGUACACAAAAAUGCACAUAUUGUGAGCUCGAUGAGUAGGGCGGGACACGUGGUAUCCUGUCUGAAUAUGGGGGGACCAUCCUCCAAGGCUAAAUACUCCUGACUGACCGAUAGUGAACCAGUACCGUGAGGGAAAGGCGAAAAGAACCCCGGCGAGGGGAGUGAAAAAGAACCUGAAACCGUGUACGUACAAGCAGUGGGAGCCUCUUAAUGGGGUGACUGCGUACCUUUUGUAUAAUGGGUCAGCGACUUAUAUUCUGUAGCAAGGUUAACCGAAUAGGGGAGCCGAAGGGAAACCGAGUCUUAACUGGGCGUUAAGUUGCAGGGUAUAGACCCGAAACCCGGUGAUCUAGCCAUGGGCAGGUUGAAGGUUGGGUAACACUAACUGGAGGACCGAACCGACUAAUGUUGAAAAAUUAGCGGAUGACUUGUGGCUGGGGGUGAAAGGCCAAUCAAACCGGGAGAUAGCUGGUUCUCCCCGAAAGCUAUUUAGGUAGCGCCUCGUGAAUUCAUCUCCGGGGGUAGAGCACUGUUUCGGCAAGGGGGUCAUCCCGACUUACCAACCCGAUGCAAACUGCGAAUACCGGAGAAUGUUAUCACGGGAGACACACGGCGGGUGCUAACGUCCGUCGUGAAGAGGGAAACAACCCAGACCGCCAGCUAAGGUCCCAAAGUCAUGGUUAAGUGGGAAACGAUGUGGGAAGGCCCAGACAGCCAGGAUGUUGGCUUAGAAGCAGCCAUCAUUUAAAGAAAGCGUAAUAGCUCACUGGUCGAGUCGGCCUGCGCGGAAGAUGUAACGGGGCUAAACCAUGCACCGAAGCUGCGGCAGCGACACUAUGUGUUGUUGGGUAGGGGAGCGUUCUGUAAGCCUGUGAAGGUGGCCUGUGAGGGUUGCUGGAGGUAUCAGAAGUGCGAAUGCUGACAUAAGUAACGAUAAAGCGGGUGAAAAGCCCGCUCGCCGGAAGACCAAGGGUUCCUGUCCAACGUUAAUCGGGGCAGGGUGAGUCGACCCCUAAGGCGAGGCCGAAAGGCGUAGUCGAUGGGAAACAGGUUAAUAUUCCUGUACUUGGUGUUACUGCGAAGGGGGGACGGAGAAGGCUAUGUUGGCCGGGCGACGGUUGUCCCGGUUUAAGCGUGUAGGCUGGUUUUCCAGGCAAAUCCGGAAAACCAAGGCUGAGGCGUGAUGACGAGGCACUACGGUGCUGAAGUGACAAAUGCCCUGCUUCCAGGAAAAGCCUCUAAGCAUCAGGUAACAUCAAAUCGUACCCAAAACCGACACAGGUGGUCAGGUAGAGAAUACCAAGGCGCUUGAGAGAACUCGGGUGAAGGAACUAGGCAAAAUGGUGCCGUAACUUCGGGAGAAGGCACGCUGAUAUGUAGGUGAAGCGACUUGCUCGUGGAGCUGAAAUCAGUCGAAGAUACCAGCUGGCUGCAACUGUUUAUUAAAAACACAGCACUGUGCAAACACGAAAGUGGACGUAUACGGUGUGACGCCUGCCCGGUGCCGGAAGGUUAAUUGAUGGGGUUAGCGGCAACGCGAAGCUCUUGAUCGAAGCCCCGGUAAACGGCGGCCGUAACUAUAACGGUCCUAAGGUAGCGAAAUUCCUUGUCGGGUAAGUUCCGACCUGCACGAAUGGCGUAAUGAUGGCCAGGCUGUCUCCACCCGAGACUCAGUGAAAUUGAACUCGCUGUGAAGAUGCAGUGUACCCGCGGCAAGACGGAAAGACCCCGUGAACCUUUACUAUAGCUUGACACUGAACAUUGAGCCUUGAUGUGUAGGAUAGGUGGGAGGCUUUGAAGUGUGGACGCCAGUCUGCAUGGAGCCGACCUUGAAAUACCACCCUUUAAUGUUUGAUGUUCUAACGUUGGCCCGUAAUCCGGGUUGCGGACAGUGUCUGGUGGGUAGUUUGACUGGGGCGGUCUCCUCCUAAAGAGUAACGGAGGAGCACGAAGGUUGGCUAAUCCUGGUCGGACAUCAGGAGGUUAGUGCAAUGGCAUAAGCCAGCUUGACUGCGAGCGUGACGGCGCGAGCAGGUGCGAAAGCAGGUCAUAGUGAUCCGGUGGUUCUGAAUGGAAGGGCCAUCGCUCAACGGAUAAAAGGUACUCCGGGGAUAACAGGCUGAUACCGCCCAAGAGUUCAUAUCGACGGCGGUGUUUGGCACCUCGAUGUCGGCUCAUCACAUCCUGGGGCUGAAGUAGGUCCCAAGGGUAUGGCUGUUCGCCAUUUAAAGUGGUACGCGAGCUGGGUUUAGAACGUCGUGAGACAGUUCGGUCCCUAUCUGCCGUGGGCGCUGGAGAACUGAGGGGGGCUGCUCCUAGUACGAGAGGACCGGAGUGGACGCAUCACUGGUGUUCGGGUUGUCAUGCCAAUGGCACUGCCCGGUAGCUAAAUGCGGAAGAGAUAAGUGCUGAAAGCAUCUAAGCACGAAACUUGCCCCGAGAUGAGUUCUCCCUGACUCCUUGAGGGUCCUGAAGGAACGUUGAAGACGACGACGUUGAUAGGCCGGGUGUGUAAGCGCAGCGAUGCGUUGAGCUAACCGGUACUAAUGAACCGUGAGGCUUAACCUU
rnacentral:rRNA from 1 species